rnacentral:lncRNA from 1 species
UGGUAUCAGAGUAUGAUUUGAGGAUCACUGAAAUAUUUGAUAUGUUGAUGUGCAAAAUAUAUUGAGGUCUAAUGAACCAUAGUGAUCGGUGAAAAUUUUAUUUGAUGCAUUUUAGGAAUCUAGGAUGACGAGGACAUUUAGUCCUCCUACUUAAUGUGGUUUUGAUUAAUUAAGUGGGAAGAAAGGGGUGAUUGGAGAUAUUAAAUUAGAGUGGCACAGCAGAAG